rnacentral:lncRNA from 1 species
UCGCAUAUAGACAUGGCAAUGGGUCGGGUUGAGGCGGGUUUUAGCAUACCCGUCCCCGCUUCAUUGUACCUGUCCUUGCCCCCGUCUCUAAAUUCGUCGGGAUAGAAAAUUCACACCCAAACCUGCCCCCAGCGAGGACGGGUUUCCCAACCCCCCACUCGCGAAGCUGUAGCAAAAAAACAUGUUUUUUUUCUUUCACAUAUUUAAAAAAAAAAAUUAUUUAGAUAUGUACUUGCUAUGUUAAGAAGAGUAUAGAAGUAAUAUGAUUAUCAAAUAUAAGGGUAAAAAAUAAUUUAAAAUAAACGGGGCGGAUGCGGGGAUGGGUGCAGGGCGGGUUUGACUAUCCCUCGACCCCGGCCCCGCCCCCGUACUAAAGAAACGGAUUUUUCCUGCACCUGCAUCCACACCCAAUUAAAUCGACUUUUCUCUGUUAAAUACGGGGCGGGGGCGACCGGAUCUAGACGGGGGUUCAAAUGUCAUGCCUACUCGCAUAGUGGAUAUACUACAAUUAUGCUUGGAGUAGUUUAAUUUUGAACAUUAAAUAAGUUUCUUGGUCUUGUGUUUUUUGAUAAAUUUUACUAUUUUCUUAUAUUAAGAAUAGAGAGAGCAAAAUACAUACUCAGUCUCAAUUCAUUAACAACGUUUGUUGCCGUUGACGUGUUUAUUAUGGACAAGUAAGUAGUAGUAGUAAACUUGUUCUUGUUCAUCAUACAAAAGUUGACUUUUAACUUCGUAUAACGUAUUAGGCUAAUUAUAGGGUGGAGAAGUAGCAUACGGUAGAUAGUAGUGACCAAAAUAUUUCCACCAUAAUCGUGGGAUUUCUGAAGCAGCUGCUUGCAACCAUACUAGUUACUUCAGGAUCCCAAGUAAUUUAAGAGCUAUAACACUUUUCAUAUCAAGGGUCAAAGUAGCAAAUAAGAUAAAAAAAAAAAAAUUACUAUAUACAUAAAAGAAAAAAGUCAAAUUACCUGUAACCUAUCUAAAAUAUGGGAAGCAUUCCUAAACUGUGAAAUUGUCAUUAAAAAAAUAUUCCUAAACUUUGAAGCUCAUCCCACCAGAGCAUUUGUUCAGGGCAAGGGCACAGUUGGACUCAAGAAUGUCGGAGACACUAGUCAAAGGGCUAUGAAUGUCGUAUUACAUACCUCAUUGACAAGAGCAUGUCGAACUUGAAAGUUAGUAGGAGAAUAAGUAAAUAGUACUCAAUUGUGAUAUCUUUUACACUUGAAAUGAUUGCACGUAGAAAGGGCUUUGCAGUUUGCCCUUCGGUUGUGAUUUCCUUAACUCUUCUAAAGAAUGUUAUGUACGAUGUUGAGUUUUUUGUGUGCUAAAAUACUAACAAUUGCAUAAGUAAAGAUAAAACAAAAAGAUAAAUAUUAAAUCUACGAAGAUAGAUUAAUA